rnacentral:rRNA from 1 species
AAUGAACGCUGGCGGCGUGCGUAACACAUGCAAGUCGAACGAGAAAUUCCGGGCUUGCUCGGGAGAGUAAAGUGGCGAACGGGUGAGUAACGCGUGGGUAACCUGCCCCUGAAUCUGGAAUAACUUCGCGAAAGCGAGGCUAAUACCGGAUAUUGUCACAGAGACCGUGGUCCUUGUGAUGAAUGAUAACCUCUUCACGAAAGUUGUCGUUCAGGGAGGGGCCCGCGUACCAUUAGCUAGUUGGUAGGGUAACGGCCUACCAAGGCAAUGAUGGUUAGCUGGUCUGAGAGGAUGACCAGCCACACUGGCACUGAAACACGGGCCAGACUCCUACGGGAGGCAGCAGUGAGGAAUUUUGCGCAAUAGGGGAAACCCUGACGCAGCAACGCCGCGUGAGUGAAGAAGGCCUUCGGGUCGUAAAGCUCUGUCAAGUGGGAAAAAAGCUUGUCGGUGAAUAGCCGGCAAGACUGAUGGUACCAUUGAAGGAAGCACCGGCUAACUCCGUGCCAGCCGCCGCUGUAACAC